rnacentral:lncRNA from 1 species
AUCCACUUUGAAGAGCGGCCCCCGCCCCUGCCCGAUACGUUACUUCCGGGGCGGGGCGGGCAGAGGGGCCCGGAUGUGCCGCCGCUUUUUAGUUUCUGAGGCGCCGGCGGUGUUCCUGGUAGCGUCAGCCUCCUGGCUUUUCCUUUUCCUCUUCCUCGACGCUUCAGGGCUCCGCGGCCUGCGCUGGACUGGAGGGUCCGCGUCACUCUCGCCCUCCUGCUUUCCGCGCUCUGACCCGCUCCCGCCUCCUGAGGGCACGACUUGGAGGAGCGCGGGCGGCGGGGCGUGAGCGAGCUGCCUCUGCCGCCAUCUUAGAGAAGGCGAGCGUGGGGUGUGCGUGGGCGCGAGUCGGCCUCCCGCGGUCCCGCCGCAGCGUGGCGCGGAGAGCCACAAUGUGAAGAAAGUCCUUGUACCCUUCGCCUUCCGCCAUAAUGAAUGAUUGGAAGAGACAUGGAAUAACACAUUUGUAUCUG